GUGGCAGGUACUUCUUGGUUGCAUUGAUUAAGCAGUUUAAUGUGACUCCAGACUGCCACACAGAUAAAAUGGUUCCUGCCGACAGGACCUGAAGAGAUAUCGGGCUUCCUGUGCGAUGGCUCCAUACAUU